rnacentral:rRNA from 1 species
GGGCGAAAGCCUGAUGGAGCAACGCCGCGUGAGUGAAGAAGGUUUUCGGAUCGUAAAACUCUGUUGUAAGGGAAGAACAAGUACAGUAGUAACUGGCUGUACCUUGACGGUACCUUAUUAGAAAGCCACGGCUAACUACGUGCCAGCAGCCGCGGUAAUACGUAGGUGGCAAGCGUUGUCCGGAAUUAUUGGGCGUAAAGCGCGCGCAGGCGGUCCUUUAAGUCUGAUGUGAAAGCCCACGGCUCAACCGUGGAGGGUCAUUGGAAACUGGGGGACUUGAGUGCAGAAGAGGAAAGUGGAAUUCCAAGUGUAGCGGUGAAAUGCGUAGAGAUUUGGAGGAACACCAGUGGCGAAGGCGACUUUCUGGUCUGUAACUGACGCUGAGGCGCGAAAGCGUGGGGAGCAAACAGGAUUAGAUACCCUGGUAGUCCACGCCGUAAACGAUGAGUGCUAAGUGUUAGGGGGUUUCCGCCCCUUAGUGCUGCAGCUAACGCAUUAAGCACUCCGCCUGGGGAG